GGGAGAAUAUUCCGUAGGGGUAGCGGUGCUGGCUGUAAACCAGUUGCUUAACGGCUCGGGUGGUUCGACUCCAUCUUCUCCCA
rnacentral:tRNA from 1 species